AUAAGCGGAGGAAAAGAAACCAACAGGGAUUGCCUCAGUAACGGCGAGUGAAGCGGCAUAAGCUCAAAUUUGAAAUCUGGCUCUUUCAGAGUCCGAGUUGUAAUUUGUAGAAGAUGUUUCGGGUGUGGUUCCGGUCUAAGUUCCUUGGAACAGGACGUCAUAGAGGGUGAGAAUCCCGUAUGUGACCGGUUACUUUCGCUCAUGUGAAACUCUUUCGACGAGUCGAGUUGUUUGGGAAUGCAGCUCAAAAUGGGUGGUAAAUUUCAUCUAAAGCUAAAUAUUGGCCAGAGACCGAUAGCGCACAAGUAGAGUGAUCGAAAGAUGAAAAGCACUUUGGAAAGAGAGUUAAACAGUACGUGAAAUUGUUGAAAGGGAAGCGCUUGCAAUCAGACUUGCGCCUAGUUGAUCAUCUGGGCUUCUGUCCAGUGCACUCGAUUAGGCUCAGGCCAGCAUCAGUUUGGGUGGUUGGAUAAAGGCUUAGGGAAUGUGGCCCCUCUCGGGGGGUGUUAUAGCCCUAGGUGCAAUGCAGCCUACCUGGACUGAGGACCGCGCUUCGGCUAGGAUGCUGGCGUAAUGGUUGUAAGCGACCCGUCUUGAAACACGGACCAAGGAGUCUAACAUUUAUGCGAGUAUUUGGGUGUUAAACCCAUAUGCGUAAUGAAAGUGAACGGAGGUAAGAACCCUUAAGGGUGCAUUAUCGACCGAUCCUGAUGUCUUCGGAUGGAUUUGAGUAAGAGCAUAACUGUUGGGACCCGAAAGAUGGUGAUCUAUACGUGAAUAGGGUGAAGCCAGAGGAAACUCUGGUGGAGGCUCGCAGCGGUUCUGACGUGCAAAUCGAUCGUCAAAUUUGCGUAUAGGGGCGAAAGACUAAUCGAACCA
rnacentral:rRNA from 1 species